GUGUGGGGUCUAUUCAACGGACUCCGUGCCGUCGCUAACGCAUUAAGUGCCCCCGCCUGGGGAGUACGGCCGCAAGGCUAAAACUCAAAGGAAUUGACGGGGGCCCGCACAAGCAGCGGAGCAUGUUGCUUAAUUCGAGGCAACGCGAAGAACCUUACCUGGGUUUGACAUGUAGAGAAAAGCCGUAGAGAUACGGUGUCCUUCGGGGUUCUACACAGGUGGUGCAUGGUUGUCGUCAGCUCGUGUCGUGAGAUGUUGGGUUAAGUCCCGCAACGAGCGCAACCCUUGUCCUAUGUUGCCAGCACGUCAUGGUGGGGACUCGUAGGAGACUGCCGGGGUCAACUCGGAGGAAGGUGGGGACGACGUCAAAUCAUCAUGCCCCUUAUAUCCAGGGCUGCAAACAUGCUACAAUGGCCGGUACAAAGGGCUGCUAAACCGCGAGGUGGAGCGAAUCCCAUAAAGCCGGUCUCAGUUCGGAUUGGAGUCUGCAACUCGACUCCAUGAAGCUGGAGUUGCUAGUAAUCCCGGAUCAGCAACGCCGGGGUGAAUACGUUCCCGGGCCUUGUACACACCGCCCGUCACACCACGAAAGUUGGUAACACCCGAAGCCAGUGGCCCAACCCUUUGGGAGGGAGCUGUCGAAGGUGGGAUCAGCGAUUGGGGUGAAGUCGUAACAAGGUAGCCGUAAUCUAGA
rnacentral:rRNA from 1 species